GACGUAGGGCGCGAGCGUUGUCCGGAUUUAUUGGGCGUAAAGAGCUCGUAGGCGGCUUGUCGCGUCGACCGUGAAAACUUGGGGCUCAACCCCAAGCUUGCGGUCGAUACGGGCAGGCUAGAGUUCGGUAGGGGAGACUGGAAUUCCUGGUGUAGCGGUGAAAUGCGCAGAUAUCAGGAGGAACACCGGUGGCGAAGGCGGGUCUCUGGGCCGAUACUGACGCUGAGGAGCGAAAGCGUGGGGAGCGAACAGG
rnacentral:rRNA from 1 species